AGAGUUUGAUCCUGGCUCAGGAUGAACGCUAGCGGCAGGCUUAACACAUGCAAGUCGAGGGGCAGCGUGGAGUAGCAAUACUCUGACGGCGACCGGCAAAAGGGUGCGUAACGCGUGAGCAACUUGCCCGUAUCAGGGGGAUAACCGGUGGAAACGCCGACUAAUACCCCGUAAUAAGAGGAACUGCAUGGUUCUUUUUUGAUAGAUCCGUCGGAUACGGAUGGGCUCGCGUGACAUUAGCUAGUUGGUGAGGUAACGGCUCACCAAGGCGACGAUGUCUAGGGGUUCUGAGAGGAAGAUCCCCCACACUGGAACUGAGACACGGUCCAGACUCCUACGGGAGGCAGCAGUGAGGAAUAUUGGACAAUGGAGGCAACUCUGAUCCAGCCAUGCCGCGUGAAGGACUAAGGCCCUAUGGGUCGUAAACUUCUUUUGACGCAGAGCAAUAAGGGUUACGUGUAAUCCGACGAGAGUAUGCGUCGAAUAAGCAUCGGCUAACUCCGUGCCAGCAGCCGCGGUAAUACGGAGGAUGCAAGCGUUAUCCGGAUUUAUUGGGUUUAAAGGGUGCGUAGGCGGAUGAUUAAGUCAGCGGUGAAAGGUCCCGGCUCAACCGGGGAGCUGCCGUUGAUACUGGUUGUCUUGAAUGCGGAUGCCGUGGGAGGAAUGUGUAGUGUAGCGGUGAAAUGCAUAGAUAUUACACAGAACACCGAUUGCGAAGGCAUCUCACGAAUCCGUAAUUGACGCUGAGGCACGAAAGCGUGGGGAUCAAACAGGAUUAGAUACCCUGGUAGUCCACGCAGUAAACGAUGAUGACUAACCGCCGGCGAUACAAUGUCGGUGGCCAAGCGAAAGCGAUAAGUCAUCCACCUGGGGAGUACGACCGCAAGGUUGAAACUCAAAGGAAUUGACGGGGGCCCGCACAAGCGGAGGAACAUGUGGUUUAAUUCGAUGAUACGCGAGGAACCUUACCCGGGCUCGAACGGCAACUGAAUAUACAAGAGAUUGUAUAGUCUUCGGACAGUUGUCGAGGUGCUGCAUGGUUGUCGUCAGCUCGUGCCGUGAGGUGUCGGCUUAAGUGCCAUAACGAGCGCAACCCUUGCCGUCAGUUACCAUCAAGUAGUGUUGGGGACUCUGGCGGGACUGCCACCGCAAGGUGUGAGGAAGGGGGGGAUGACGUCAAAUCAGCACGGCCCUUACGUCCGGGGCGACACACGUGUACAAUG
rnacentral:rRNA from 1 species